rnacentral:rRNA from 1 species
UACUAGGUGUAAAGGGAGCGCAGGCGGUGCGGCAAGUCUGAUGUGAAAGCCUGGGGCUCAACCCCGGUACUGCAUUGGAAACUGUCGUACUAGAGUGUCGGAGGGGUAAGUGGAAUUCCUAGUGUAGCGGUGAAAUGCGUAGAUAUUAGGAGGAACACCAGUGGCGAAGGCGGCUUACUGGACGAUAACUGACGCUGAGGCUCGAAAGCGUGGGGAGCAA